UCUCAGCCAUGGUUGCAUACCUUCCAAGCUCCACCGCCUCUUCUUCCUCGUGGGCAGAUCCCUGAUUUUGUGUAGGACAGCACUUGAAAUGUAUUUGUGUGCUCAACAUUGGUUUCCUCUCUGGAACCUGGGAUCACUUCAGGGGUGGACACGUGGCCCAACCAUGACUGAUGAGACAUGCGGGGAAAUCUGCAGAGGCAACUUCUAGGAAAGGUUGGGCUCUUGCAGCCACCCUGUGACUAUGAGGUGAGAAGCUUGUCCAGUGUGAUAGCUGAUCCACUGAAGAUGACAAGGAAAACAGCAGAAAGGAACCAGGCUACUUGAUCAUAGUGAGAGCUGAUAAGGCAGCCAAUCUGAAUUUCUUUCUACGUAAAACAAUUAACAUUAGUGUUUCAUUGCAUUUUCUAUUGCUUGCAGCCAAAAAUACUCUAACCACUGUCCUUGGGCAAAUUACUGACCUCUUUAAGCCUUGAUUUUCUCAUCUCUGAGAGAUGAACACAAGAGUUUGUAUUUCAUUGAAUGAGAUAAGGUAAUGAUAAGAAUAAGAAAUAUUUAUGCUGCACUUACUAUGUGCUCAACUCUGUUCAAAACAGUUUACUCAUUUAACAUACGUAUCAUGCUUAGCCUAGGAUCCUGAACCUUUUAUGUUCUCAAACUUACCCUUAUAAUCAUUGCUAUUGCAGGAACUAGGCUAUUAAUUCAGACCUUCUGUUCCUAGACAUUUUACCAACAGUGAAAGUAAACUUUCACUCCUCCCACCACCCCACAAGGAAAAUUACAGGAGCAUUUGAAAACAUUUUUGAAACUCAAAUGCUCUCACAAUUGAAUGACACAGGAAUCAAUACUUAGAAAACUCUGCCUUUUCAGUGUUCAGAGUAUAAUGCAUAUUUUUAAAAAUAGACUCAAUACAAGUUCUUGCAAAUCUAUUUGGAAGCGAAAAGAGCUCAUUAUAACAAUGGUUCUGGAUGGAUUACAAACUUCUCAGUUUAGAAAUGGGUUUUUGUUUUGUUAGUACACCAUGCUCUCUACUAUUAUUUACUGCAUAGUUUGAGUCACUCACUAGUCAAUUUCUCAACGCUUUGUCAAGGACUAUGAAGGGCUGAAGAUUUACUCUACUUGAGAACGAACCAGCAUUCUGACCACAAUGCCAGAAGACAAUACGGAAUUACUCAGUACAUGAAGCACCAGGAAGAUGACAACAGAAGAGAGAGGACCCAGACAUUGGAAUCAGCAGCCACCAGGUGCAAUCUCCAACAUGUGCGGGCUUUGGGAAAACACAAUCGGGCAAGUGAAGUUUGUUGCAGACAAGUUCUUCUUCCCCUCUGCCACAACCUCCUCCAAGGUUACAGGGAGAGCACCCUGUCUGUGAAGAAGCAGGUUCUCAUCUGAUACCAAAUCUGCUGGCACCUUGAUCUUGGACUUCCCAGACUCCAGGACUGAAGAUCACAGAUUGACAUCAGCAGGAAAACUUGCCAGGCAGCAGGAGGAUCCAUUUGAAAACUCACGAGAAAAAGGCCCUUGAGGCCUUUUUCCUGGUUAUUGAAGACAUCUUAGGAAACACUUAUGGUGACAAUUAAUCAAGCAAAAAUAGAUCCAGUUUUUCUGAAGAUCAAGCUUAACAUGUGUGCCAUGCUUUAAAAUGUCUUUCCAGGCACUCUCUCCUGCCCACGGAUCUUGCUUGGGAAAGGAAUGGGGCAAGUGGAAAUGGCCAUUUCUUAGAUGAACACAUCAGGGACUUGCUCCAGUCUGAAGUCUAUACAGAGCUAGGCUUUGAAUCCAGUCACGUAACUGCAUAGCAGCAAAUCAGCCUUUCAGAAUAUUGCAGGAUCAGCAAUGAAAUUCCCUUUGCCAGAGAAAUGGACAAACAAGGAAGCAACAAUGGUGAUGGUGGAAGUGUUCUUCAAGUCUAAGUUUGGGUUCUAGAAACAUCUGGCCAAAUAACGUCUUUCACAACUAAAAUAGAAUAUAAAGAAGCCAUUUGACCUGCCUCAGUUAUCAUGGUCAUCAUGACAAGCUGCAGCAGGACAAAUCAGCUUAACAAUUUCGGAAACUGCCAGAAAUGCUAUUUGGAUUAAUUUUUAUUUGGGAGUUGGCUAAAACUGGUCACAUCCCCAAAUACCUCAAGAUAAACAACAUAGCAUUAUCAUACAAAUCUAUAUUCACCAAAUUAGGUUAAAAUAGGCUGUUUUGAGAAGGUUGAAUUUUUUUAUGGGGAUUAUUCCCAAAAUACGUUUAGACACAAGAAGUUCAACUUUUCUUUUUUCCAUAUUUGAUGUCAAUCAAACUAAUUACUACAUGUUUGGAAUUGCAUUAAUUGUAUUCUUCAGUUACCUAUAAAAUUUAAUUAUCAUGUCUUUAUGGAAAUUUUAAUAUCAGAUAUAAAGAAUGGCAUAUUUAAAAUGACAUUUUAAUACUUUAUAAGAAGCAACAGAAAUUCGACUUCCAAAGCACCUCUCAGUACUACCAUUGGAGUACAUCUAUAUUUUUCUGUCAGAAUACUAUCCAAAGCAAGCAUAAGUAAUCCUUAUUUUCACGAUACAUUGAUGCUCAAAAGUUGUGUGUUCAGCAUGUCUACAAAGUAAAUUACCGUAUAUUUGAAACAGCAGACUAAAACUGAAGUAACAUCUGGAAAAAAUUGCCCUAAUUGCUAGCCCCUAAAUUCAUCUGACCUUGACACUCUCAUCUGAAUUUAAAAGUGUUUUAAAUUCUUAGCCAAUCAAUUCAAGCCAGAACUGAAUUCAUAUGUCUUCAGAAACUGCUAAUCUAGAACAAUGUAACUAGAAUAGAUUCCUGAUCAAACUUUGGUUUUGUUCAGGUAUCCACUCAUUUCCUAGGUGACCCAGAGGCCACAACUCACAACUCCACCCCUUCCCGUGGCUGGUCCAGGCUGUGCAGAUCUUGUAGUCACAAAGUCCUGGCAAUGGGCUGGGGGUGGGAUCUGACCUAGUGCUGACCAACAUGUCAAAAACAGAUGGCUGCAGAACCCUCUGGAAAAGCUUCCCUCAUUCUUAAGGAAUCCUGUGAAGAGAUGGUCUGUUUCUGUCCUGUUCCCUGGAUGUCAAAUGUCUGGGUUUGAGACCCAGAACUCCUGAAGCCAUCUCACAACUACAAGGGGAGCAGAUGUAGCCACUGAGGAUGGCCAAGCAGAGGGAGGGAGGACCUUUCCUGCCAGCAUCGCCAGCGGCUGAAUCACAGCCCAGAACCCCACAGCACCCUAAACGUCCUCUUAACAAAUGUAAUACGUUGUCUUACUGUUUGUGCCUGUGUGAAAAGUCCUCUUUGCUUGCAGUGAAGGCAUCCUAGUUGAUAAACAUGAAAUUUGAAAAUUGGAGAUUUCUUGGAACCAACA
rnacentral:lncRNA from 1 species